rnacentral:rRNA from 1 species
GAUGAACGCUGGCGGCGUGCCUAAUACAUGCAAGUCGAGCGAACGGACGAGAAGCUUGCUUCUCUGAUGUUAGCGGCGGACGGGUGAGUAACACGUGGAUAACCUACCUAUAAGACUGGGAUAACUUCGGGAAACCGUAGCUAAUACCGGAUAAUAUUUUGAACCGCAUGGUUCAAAAGUGAAAGACGGUCUUGCUGUCACUUAUAGAUGGAUCCGCGCUGCAUUAGCUAGUUGGUAAGGUAACGGCUUACCAAGGCAACGAUGCAUAGCCGACCUGAGAGGGUGAUCGGCCACACUGGAACUGAGACACGGUUCAGACUCCUACGGGAGGCAGCAGUAGGGAAUCUUCCGCAAAGGGCGAAAGCCUGACGGAGCAACGCCGCGUGAGUGAUGAAGGUCUUCGGAUCGUAAAACUCUGUUAUUAGGGAAGAACAUAUGUGUAAGUAACUGUGCACAUCUUGACGGUACCUAAUCAGAAAGCCACGGCUAACUACGUG